GUGUGUGUGUGUGUGUGUGUGUGUAUAUAUACUUAGAUCAUAUAUAUAUUUAUUAUAUAUAUGAUCUAAGUAUAUAUACACACAUACACUGUCUA